rnacentral:piRNA from 1 species
UUGAGUUAUAGUCACCUUGUCACAUUUUUU